UACGUAGGGUGCGAGCGUUAAUCGGAAUUACUGGGCGUAAAGCGUGCGCAGGCGGUUCGUUAAGUCAGCUGUGAAAGCCCCGGGCUUAACCUGGGAAUGGCGGUUGAAACUGGCGAACUUGGAUCUGGCAGAGGGGGGUGGAAUUCCACGUGUAGCAGUGAAAUGCGUAGAGAUGUGGAGGAACACCGAUGGCGAAGGCAGCCCCCUGGGCUGAGAUUGACGCUCAGGCACGAAAGCGUGGGGAGCAAACAGG
rnacentral:rRNA from 1 species